GUAUAAUGGGUCAGCGACUUAUAUUCUGUAGCAAGGUUAACCGUAUAGGGGAGCCGCAGGGAAACCGAGUCUUAACUGGGCGUUAAGUUGCAGGGUAUAGACCCGAAACCCGGUGAUCUAGCCAUGGGCAGGUUGAAGGUUGGGUAACACUAACUGGAGGACCGAACCGACUAAUGUUGAAAAAUUAGCGGAUGACUUGUGGCUGGGGGUGAAAGGCCAAUCAAACCGGGAGAUAGCUGGUUCUCCCCGAAAGCUAUUUAGGUAGCGCCUCGUGAACUCAUCUUCGGGGGUAGAGCACUGUUUCGGCUAGGGGGUCAUCCCGACUUACCAACCCGAUGCAAACUACGAAUACCGAAGAAUGUUAUCACGGGAGACACACGGCGGGUGCUAACGUCCGUCGUGAAGAGGGAAACAACCCAGACCGCCAGCUAAGGUCCCAAAGUCAUGGUUAAGUGGGAAACGAUGUGGGAAGGCACAGACAGCCAGGAUGUUGGCUUAGAAGCAGCCAUCAUUUAAAGAAAGCGUAAUAGCUCACUGGUCGAGUCGGCCUGCGCGGAAGAUGUAACGGGGCUAAACCAUGCACCGAAGCUGCGGCAGCGACACUAUGUGUUGUUGGGUAGGGGAGCG
rnacentral:rRNA from 1 species